CCAAAAUGACUUAAAAUCUAAUUCUAGACUCUUAUGUUCUUACAAAGAACUUGGGAUUUUAUUCAAAAAUUGAGCCUUAUUUUUAGACUUUCAAAUGUAAAAGACUUCAUUGUAAAUCAACAUGAUUGAUUAUUUAGAUUUAAGUACACUUCUCAUGGGGCUAACGGCUUUAUUCAAUAGCAGACUUUCACCAAACUGCUUCAACCGAGACCAAUCCUCAUAGAAGGCCGGAACACCGACCUGCGACGUAGCACCAUGUCGUUACGACCUGUGGUGAUCAUGCGGCGACAGGCUAUUGGUCUAAACUGCCCACAGGUUGGCGAUUUCGCAGGUGUGACCAAUCCGACUCGAGAGAAAUCUACAUGGCUCCUAGCAAAACUAGGCGUGAGCUUAAUGUAGAAGCUGCCAAGAAAUCGUACGAAACGAAAAAAAAGGAACGCUCUAAAUUACUAGAGAAAAAUCAAGACUUAGUUGAACAGCAAAAAGAGUUACUACGAGAGAUGGCGAGACUUCAAGAAACGUUCGACAAUUGUCAGCGGGCUUGGGAGUACAUGAUGCAUGCAUGUGACGAGAUGGACUAUGAAGACGUCACUUCCUCUGCUAUUAAUAACUCAGCGUGCAUUGACGUCACUUCCCCUGACAUAGAUAAUUCAGUAUAUAUUGAGGACACUUCCUCUACCACUGACAGCGCCACCUUCAUACCGGAAGAAGAUGAAUUGGCGGGUAGCCGCUUGGAGACAGAGCUAUCAAAUGAGACCAUCGCUCUAGAUUUGUCCCUUAAAACCAGCGCAGCACGGGCUGAUCUGGCUACGUAUUGCCAUAAUGAAUGCACCUUUAUCCAGCGUCCAGUAACUUACGAAGCAAAAGAAGAGGACGGCGCUAGUAUAGAUCUUGGCUCCACUCUUGAUCUCGGAGCCACUCAAGAAGUAGAACAUCGGGUCCGUAAAAGGACAAAAAGGGUGACUUUUGCAGACGACAGUAAUGUUAAGAAAUAUAAAAGUGACCUCUUUACUCCAAAGAUGUGCCAAAGUGUAAACUGUUGAUUUAAUUACAAACAGGUAUCAGUGUCGUAACAGCAUUUUUUUACGACGUUUUGUAAACUCACCAAUAAAGGCGUGAGCUAUCUAAUUACUCUAAGGCUAAUUAUCUCGAUCAUCCCGUGUCGAUCUAAUCACUGGCCUGUCAAGUUAUCAUUGUGGCAGCAUUAUUGACGCGAAGUAAAGAAUAGCACAGUUGGCAGCACCAGGUAGUUUUUAUUUGUUCUAUUGGUGGGGUAAUGUCUACCCAAAGGCAAGAAUGGCAGCAUCAACUAAGAGCUCAAUUGAUUUUUUUUAAAACUUGAUUGGCAUAACCAGUCUUUAAUUCAGCAGCGCUGUGACCCUACCGCAGUCUGUGUCAUUAGUGGCAGCCUUCAAUGAUUCAUUUGGAUUGGAUUUUUAUUCCGCCUCACCAAGUUCAGUUAAAUAAAGGGAUGUGUUCUAUACGUUAUUAGAUAGAUUUUCAUUUGUACAUAGCUUGUAUCAACUCCUCUGUCUGUCUGUCUGUCUGGUAAAAUGUUUGUACACGUUAUUUUUCCCCACACCCAUUCGCGGAUCAGGUUGAAACUUUGCACAAUUAUUCAUUGGCAUAGACGGGAUGAGUAAAAAAAAAAAUUUGUUAAUUAGUCAAAUAAUUAUUGGUAAUUAAUUUAUUUUGUGUGAUAACAACAAGGGAGAUUAAUCCAUCAUUAUUCAUAUAUAUGGCUAAAUAUGUAGGGUUCGGUCCCCUUAGAUAAUCGUACUCAUUAUUUCUGCCACAUCCAUUUUUGGAUCAAGUUGAAGCCUUAAACAAUUAUUUAUUGUACCUAACAAAACAUGGAUCGAUUAAAAAAAUUAACCAAUUUGUCAAUUAAUUAUUGGUAAUUCAUUAUUUUGUUUGAGAUCGAAUGCAGUAAUUAACUUCUACAUUAUGGAGAGAUCGUUGUAAUUGCGGAGUUCUUCUCCUUAAAUAAGCUUUUUUUUUUUUUUUAACAGGAUUUUUAUAUUUUGCUUGUUUUUCAAUUGGAGUACAUUGAAUGUAAAGUUGGCAGUAACAAUCUGCAUUAUUUUGUUGACAAAUGGGGCGUUUUUGCCUCUUAGGUAUAUGUUUGAUUCAAGUGUUCUUCAUAUGCGUUCUUCGUUUUGAAAAAUUUUCCUAUUAGACCUGUGUUCCAGGUUUAAUACGAUGGUGGUCAUUCUCUGCUGUGUAUGUGUUUUACCAAAUUUUUAGACCCUUUCUCUUAAUCCCUAGAGGCCUACCAGGCUGAUGGCUGCCUGGUCGUGAGGUUUGCGCGCUGGACUGUCGUUCUGAUUUAUCGAUGGUCGAGGGUUUAAAUCCUGCCCGCUCCCAUCUCCCGUCGUCCUGCGGGAGGCUUGGACUAGGAAGUUGAUUUCUGCAUUGUCCGUUGAAAGACUCAAGGUUUUUCUUACAUUUAUUUUGGCAAGAUUCUGUUAUUUGUAGCAUUUCUGACUCUACAGAUUCUGCCCUUUUUUAUUUUUUUAAUUUGUUGUUAUACUAUUAAGCGCAUAUGCAUAUGUGUAUGUGUGUAUUUGCGUGCAUGCCUUGUGUGUAGUUUUUUUUUGUUUGUUUUUGACAAAGAAAUGAUUUACAUUUGUUAAAAAUCACCACUGAAUAGUUAUAUUUGUUAAAAUUGACCAUUGAAUAUUUAUGUUUGUUUAAAGUGACUAUUGAAUUGUCUACUUAUGUCUGUUAAAACUAUUGAAUACUUAUAUUUGUUGAAACUAUUGAAUACUUAUAUUUCUUAACAAACUAAUACCAUUGAAUACUUGUAACCUUUUUUUUUUUUUAACAAGCUGAUAUUUCAAAACGUAUGUUCUAACUACGAAGACGCCACGUAGAUCUUGGUACAAACAGUAGCAGAACGAGAAAUCGGGGUCCCCUUCUAAGUACUAAGUUAUGACCCUGGGCACCCCUUGGCCUAGAAAGUUCCAAUGUGCCAUAAGCCAUCAGCCACAUUUUAUUGUGGUACAGACUGUGAUUUAUGUAAAAACAAUAUAAAGUAUGCAGUGUCAUUCUUAAUUAUUGUGAACAUUGCCAAUUUAUUGUAUUGUUGCUAUGAAUAACUUAACUAUGCAUAAGACUUAAUUGACUAUCACUAUAGUAACAGAAGUAACACUAAAGUGGUCUUUUCCUUUCUAAAGAAGUGCAAAGCCUUUUUUUUUUUUUCAUUGCUGACAAAUCUCAUCUGUCCCUUAACUUUCGUCGUAGGGGUGCUGUGACAGUUCGUCGUAGGGGUGCUGUGACAGUUCGUCGUAGGGGUGCUGUGACAGUUCGUCGUAAGGGUGCUGUGACAGUUCGUCGUAGGGGUGCUGUGACAGUUUGCGUAACCCAAUCUCUUCACUUGUCCUGGCAAGCAGCUAUUCUAGGAUACCGGUAGAGAGGCCGGUCCAUUUUUUUUACAUUGUCCAGUCAUUGUCCAGUCAUUGUCCAGUCAUUGUCCAGUCAUUGUCCAGUCACAGUGGCGUAGCUAGAGAGGGGGGGGGGAAUCUGAAAAUCCCUCACCCAAAUGAGUAUUCGAAAUUUUUUUUUUUUACAUUAAAUAAUACACAAAAACCAGGGGCCCCCCAAAAAAAGGUCAAGCCCCCCCCCCCCAUGGCCCCCAAAUGAUGGCAAAUUCCUAGCUAUGCCACUUUCCAGUCAGCUUUUCUUUGGAUGGCCCUUUCUUUGUGCUCCCUGCAUGUACAUAAGCACCACUCAAAUGUCCCCAUUCUUUCAAAAGGCAACUCUGAGGAGGUAACUAUUGUUUACGUCGUAACCACCAUUGUUUUCCAUUUGUUUUCUGGGCAAUAAAUGUCUUUUAACUUUGAUUGCUUUACUUGCGAGUUGCCCUAUUGUAAUGGCCUACCACACAAAUGAAAGCAAUUUUAUUUCUCUCUACUGUCUACUGGUAUAACUCUAAUCUGAUGACCUACUUGAGUGCAAUUUUCAUGUGACAAAAAGUUUACUUGCUUAUUUACAUAAGUGGCCCUAAUGUCGACCUGCUAUAGGCCAUGUUUAAAUUGACCUUUUUUUUUUACAUACUUGGCGCUAAAUUGGCCUGCCAUUCGCAUUAGUAACGAUACAUUUGACCGGCUAUUUAUAUAAAGGACGCUAAAUUAACAGUUAUUUACAUAUAGAACACUUUAGUUGACUUGCUUUUUACAUAUGUUGACCAGCUCUUUAUAUUAGUGACGCUAAAUUUGAAGGGACACUAAAUUUGUCCUUAUUAUUUAGAAAAUCGCAAACCUCUCAAUGUACAUGACAAAUCUAUUUGUACAAAUGUUUUUUAUUUACAUAUAAAUGUUAUAAAUGUUAUGUUAUGAUCAGUUCUAUGCACAUCUGCCAUAUGUAUGUGAUAAUGCAGCAAAUAGUUGGCAUUCAUUGACCGCCAUGUUUUUACACUAUUUAACGAUAAUGAAGCCAACGUGUAUGUUUUUCUUUGAAGAACAUAAUCAACUGUUCUGUAAACUGUAAACUGUCUAGAAUCUAAAGCUCAUCUGUUGCGUGGGCACGGAUUUAUAACUCAUGUUUCAUUUCGAUCACUCACCAUGAUUGUUAGAUCACAAUUUAAUUAAUGAAGUCUGGAUUAAUUUAUAAGUAAUGAGAGAACAUAUAAUAGAAUACAAAAAUAAGCUGGUCUGUUGUCUUAAUGUCUAUAAUGUAGAAACAACACUCAGGUAGAAAGAGGUGGGAGUUAAAAAAAAAACAACAACCCAACUAUUUGGCAAAAGGGGGCGGGAAAAAAGUGAUAGGUUUUUAAUGCUGCAUUUUUUUAAAAUUAAAUAUAUUAAGCCUUAAAAAAAAACUUGAGUCAAUCAUUUGGAAUUUAUUUAAAAGUAGGGUUAUAUAUAUUUAUAUAAAAUUUUUACCUUUACCUAUCCCUUAGUCUGUUGGACCGUUGGGGCACCAAGCAAGACUCGUCGACCGUCUUUCUCCAUUCCUCCCUGUCUUUUGCCUUGUUUAGAACCUCUUUCAAUGGUAGGCCCGUCCAUUCUUUUAUGCUGCCCUCCCAUCGCUUUCUGUCUGUCUCUUCUUCCUUUUCCUGGUACUGUUCCCUGAAGGAAGGUCUUUGCGAGCCCCGAAGAUCUUGUAAUAUGGCCAAAGAUUUUAAGCUUGCGUUUUUUAUUUUUUACGAUGCAGGUCAUCAUGGGGUCCGAUCGCUGCAGUCUCUAAUCUCUUGGUUUGUGGUGCGGCUAUUUUAUAUCCCGCUGCGGGGAAGAAGAGGAAACCGUGCCUCAUAUUCUGGGAAAGCAAAAGUUCUCGACCUGUAUGGUGACGUGUAUGCACUACGCAAGACAGCAGGGUUUCUGUCCAGGGCUUUUGCAAGAGAGGAUUUAAGCCUCUCAAGCCCUCACUCCAAUGGAGUUUGAUGAUGAUGGUGAUGAUAUAGAAUAGCCAGAUCCAAGCUGAGAGUGGAACCAACAGGCUUGGCUUUGAAGAUGUUCAAAUCAUUUUGAUCUCAAUUCGCAGUGCCGUAUAAAGAAACAGCCGUGUUAAGAGCAAGAGACGUGUGGACGUAGCGAACGUCCGUGUUCUAAUAUGAAGUGCGCUAUAUUUAGUUGCACACCCUUCAUACUGAGUGAACUGUUAGACAGCAGAGAACACGCUAAGUGGUAUAUAUAUAUAUAUAUAUAUAUAUAUAUACAUCCAUCCAUCCAUCCAUCCCAGUGGCGCUACAGCCCAUGGAGGGCUCUGGCCUGCUUUAACACAUCCUUCCAUUCAGAUCUCUCCUGGGCCUUUCGUCUCCAUGCCCUAACCCCAAGCUGCUUCAGAUCUGCUUCCACAUCAUCUAUCCAUCGCAUUCGGGUUCUGCCUUUGGGUCGCCUGCCUUUUGGUUUUUGCAUAUAUAUAUAUACAUAUAUAUAGGCCUCCUACUGUCGUAGAACGACUAUGAUUCAUCUCGAACACUUUUUCAUAUGGCUGUGGAGCCCCAUUUUGGAGAGGCACUUCCGUCCACAGAUAUUGCAGGUCAAGGUGGCCUCCGCUUAGGUCAGGGGUUCUCAACCUGUGGGUCGCGACCUCCUUGGGGGGUCGAUUGACGAUUUGCCAGGGGUCGCUUAAGACCAUCGAAAAUAUGGAUUGUUAUUGUCUACUCUUCUAUUUCUGUAUGUGUGUGUUGGAGGGGGGGGGGGGGUCGCGACCCCCUUGGGGGUCGAUUGACGAUUUGCCAGGGGUCGCUUAAGACCAUCGAAAAUAUGGAUAGUUAUUGUCUACUCUUCUAUUGUAUGUGUGUGUUGGACGGGAGGGGGGGGUCGCGGCAGAGUAGGGGAUUGUAAAAAGGGGUCGCCGAGCUUAAAAGGUUGAGAACCGCUGGCUUAGGUGGUAGAGGAGCCCGCUUUCAAGUGGUAGAUACAGAAAUGAAUAGACACGUCCCUCGCUACUUGUCAACAAUGAAUAAAUACAAUGCUGUAACGAAAGCUUAGGGAUUAAAAUAACAAAGGGGGAGAUAAGUAGGCCAACAAUCAUGGAAGGCAGAAUGGUGGUUUGAAGUAAACUUUCUAGGAAGUCAAGCCUUCCUAUAUUUGUAAAUACGAGUUAACCCAGUUUAUUUAAGCGCCAUUUUUAGUAUAAUAAAUAAUAUGCAAGCAAAGUUUUUUAUUUUAAAAUUGGCUUUAAUAUAUAUAUAUACCAUGGCUAUUGAUCUAUAAUGUGAUAAUAAAAUGGGUCAUAUAUAUAUAUAUACAUGUAUAUAUACCUAGGUCAAUCAAUCACUCAAUCAGGGCCCUUCUAAAUAUAAUAGGCCUAUAAAUAGAGUUAUGUCCAUACACUGGGGCUAAAUAUAUGGAGCCUUUUUUGUUAUAGUUUGAUACUCAAUACAAGAACACAAUGAAGAUACCUGAACAUAGUCUGUAAAUAUUUUCAAUUUUAUUGUAAGCCUAUUAAUUAUACAUUUAUAGAAACUUCUUUUAGAUUAUAUUGUUAGAAGUUGUUUGUUUUUUAGAGUAGAGUAGAUUAUAAAAAGUAAUGGGCAAGACUCGACCUAAAUAUAGUGCCCAAGCGCAGUUCUGCCCUACGAUUAGAUCUGCGAUUGGACUCGUUCAUCAAUCGUAAGCAAACACCCUUGAGGUGCUUCCCUAUCUAUUCUAUUCAGCUUACGACGUAAUUUGAAUCAAACACGGUUAUCACGUGACCGUUCCUUUCGGUGGAGGAGGGUUAACGUAUUUUAGACUUCGUGAAUUUAUUUCAUUCGACAGCAGGCAGGAUACACAGGUCAAAGGUAGACAUUUUUUUUAAAUAUAUAAUUAAAAAAAAGCUGGUGACUAGGCCCCAAUCGUUUAAAACGACCCAGCCUAAAAAAUAUCCUUUUAUCUUUGAUUUGAGUUUGAUGCUAAGAUUGCGACAAUGAGUGUGUGAAAGCGCACUCUGGUCAUUUUUCUGCUAAUAAGACUUGUCUGUAAGAUUUCUACAAUUUUUGAUCUAACUAGGACACUUAUUAUAGAAUGAAAUGGGUUUCCUGAAUCAGCCAGAAAAAAAAACAUCGACUUAGCAGGGUUGAAGUCGUUGAUUAACAUGCAUGAUUAGAUUGACACAUGAAAUGCGUAGGACGUAAUUAUCUUCUUUUUUGAAGUAACGUCUGUAAUUGAUAAGAUAAAAAGAUUAGAAGCGAUGUCAGCCAUAUAAAUUUUUUUCAGUUCUCCGGAAGUGGUAAACAAAAAGAGAAUGAUCGCAAAAAAAUUCUGGAGAUCAAAUAUUUGUUCAGGUUUAGAAGCAAUCUGAACCACUGUUGAUUAUAAGUAGUCUAGAGUAGAUUUAGUCCCAAAUCAUAAAUCUAGAAGUUUCACAAAUCUGCACAUGUAAUACUUAGGGUUACCAGACAUCAACAAAAGAAGGUCAUGUCCUCCUUUUCGGGGUCAUGCUGUUCGUCACGCAGGCAUAGGCAUACAGUGAAAAAUGUCCGGCCUUUACUCUUGUUUAUUACAAAUGCAUUUUAUCUAUCAAUCGAAAUCAGCUUUUUAAAUCCUCGGUCGAAAAACACUCACUCAUACAUAGCAGAAAGGUGGCAAGAUUGAACGAAUCUUUGUAGGAACAGAUUUAUUUCAAAUGACCACACGAAACUAGUUGAGACAUAUAUUUGACCACAUCUAAUGCAGAUAUACCUGUUGUCUUCUUAAGGGGCCCUUCUUUGGGUCUCAAAAUUGUGUUCCGUGACCUUUGUAAGAGCUCCUCGCAGUACAAAAUAUAUAAGGUAAAUUGCGUGUCUUGUGAGAGGAGAUAUUAUGUAGAAAUAUAAGUCUGCGUAUUUAUGCAAAUUCGUUUUUUUAAAUGAAUAUAAGAGAGAGUGAGAGUAUCGAAAGAGAUGAUUUUGCUCUAAAUGUUGAUAUAUGUUGGCGUUUUAAGAAAAACCUUUACUAUUUUAUUAAUAAAUGUUAAUGGUCCAUUAUUGUGUUUUGAAGCCUUAUAAAUGAAUCAAAUGUUGAUGUUCAUUGUAUAUUUUCCUUAACUUAUAAAGUCACUUGAUACAUUCCUUAUAGACUGAUUACUCAAAGAACUAAGCAAUGAGCUAGCCCCAGUGUUUAAAUACUUUUUCAGGCAUCUCUUAACCAGGGCGGAGUACCGAGGGACUAGAAAGAAGCUAAUGUCACCCCUCCCUAUUUAAAAAAGGAGAAAAAUCUGACCGAGGAAACUACAGACCAGUAUCACUUACCAGCAUAAUAUGUAAAAUCCUAGAACACAUAAUAUGUAGUAACAUUAUAAACCACUUAGACAAACAUAAUGUCCUUACUCCAUACCAACAUGGCUUUAGGAAAUAUAAAUCAUGUGAAAUACAACUAAUAGGACUGAUUGAUAAUUUUUCAAAAAGUUAAGAUGAUAGUGAGCAAAUAGAUGCUAUCUUAUUAGAUUUUUCCAAAGCUUUUGACAAAGUUCACCACCAUAGUUUAAUUAAAAAAUUAAAAUAUUAUGGCAUUGAUGGUCCAUUGCAUCAGUGGAUUAAAGAUUUUCUGAUAGGGAGAGAACAAACUGUAAUAAUAAAUGGCUCUAAAUCAACACCAAUAACAGUAAACUCAGGUGUACCCCAAGGAACAGUCUUAGGUCCAAUACUAUUUUUAAUUUACAUAAAUAAUUUACCAAAUUGCAUUAGUUCAGGAACAAAUGUCAGAUUAUUUGCAGACGAUUGCAUAAUAUAUAGAGCAAUAAAAACAAAACAAGAUUCGGAAAUUUUACAAAGAGAAUUAGAUGAAUUACAGAAAUGGGAAUCAAAUUAGAGCAUGUCUUUCCACAUAGAAAAAUGUCAGUUUUUAAGAAUAACAAAAAACUAAAACUAUCUUACCACUUAUCUUAUUCAUGGUUAAACAGUAACACAGACUAAAAACGCAAAAUACCUAGGUGUUAUAAUAAAUGAAAAACUGUCAUGGAAUCCACAUAUUGAUGAAACUAUCAAAAAAACAAACCAAAGCAUUAGGUUUUAUUAAAAGAAAUGUCUAUAAAUCAAACAAGAACAUAAGACUAAAAUGUUAUUUAAUCUUAGUUAGGCCAAUAAUAGAAUAUGCAUCCUCUGUUUGGGACCCCUCAUCUCAAGAAAACAUUAAGAAACUGGAACAGACAGAAAAUAGAGCAGUGAGAUUCAUAACAAACCAAUAUUCACAUUUGACUUCAAUAACACCUUUAGUAAAAUCACUAAAUUUAGAAAGCCAUCAGGUUAGAAGACUCAAAAGUAAAGUAGCAAUUAUACAUAAAACACUGAACCAUAAUCUUCAAGUACAAAAACAAAAUCUAAUAAAAUACUCAGAAAGACACAAAGAUAAAGGCACUUUCCUCGUUCCAUAUGCUAGGACAAAUUUUUACAAAUGCUCCUUCUUCCCUAGCUCUAUUAGAGCACGGAAUGGGUUGUCUGAGCUAGCCAGGAAAACCAGUGACUUGGCAGAAUUUAAGUCAUUGGUUAAUAGGCAUGACUAAAUGCAUGACGCGUAGGACGUAAUCAUCUUCUUUUUUGAAGUAACGUCUGUAUAAGAUAAGAUGACUUGAUACAUUAUUUGUUUACACUCAGUGCAACUAAAAACCUUUUUGAAGAACUUUAUGAGAUUUCGAAGUUACUACUAAUGUGAAAUGUCAAAACAUCGGGGGGGGGGGGGGGCGGGAAUACAGAAUGUGUUGAAAUAUAGAACAUAAUGAUUAGUUAGUAUUAAUAUUAUUUUGUUAAUUGUUUUUGUUAAUAUGUGACUAAAAGGUAAUCAUCAGACUGAUCAGAGAUAUAAAAUAUAUUACUAGAACUUGUAUGAAAGAUGUUAAGUCUUUUUUUUUUAUCUUCAGGUAAUAAUUAUGUAACGCAUACAAUAUACUCAAAGACUUAACUUUGUUUACUGUUUCAUUUCCAAAUAAAGCCAUUGUUUUAAAGCUG